ACCUGACUCGGUGCCGGCCUUGCUACUCUCCCUGCUGGGUUUGGGAGGCCGCCCCCUCGGCAUGGCUGCCCCCUCCCUCCCCCCCCCCCCCCCCCCAGCGCGCACACACACACACACUUGGCAACGGCGGAGGAAGCGGCGGGGAAGCGUGCCCUCUGGGAAAGGAUCGGUAAAGAUGGAGAUGUGUUUAUUGAUAGCUUGUUCCAGCGCUUCAUGGCUUUCAUCGCCUCCCGAGACGCUGCUGUAUGUCAUCUUGGAAUUCAUAGGCUUCAGCCUCUGAGAUGAGAUUUUUAUUACACCUCUUUCUUGCUAAAUAAAACCUCUAAUACAAAACA